UUGGGCAUAGAGUCUUUGCAA
rnacentral:misc_RNA from 1 species